UUCAAGAGUUGCAGUCAAUAAUUGACAUACUUCCAGCGAGAAACGGAUCAACUGAAUCCCAUUGUGAAAAUGCACAAAAUUGUGUCGCAUUGUCCAGCUUCCAGAGGAAGAAACGACAGAUAUUUGUUUUCUCUACUACGAUAACACUUUCUCAUGAUUUUCGUAAGAAGAUGAAGUGUAGUUCACUAAAGUCCAACCAAUCAAUGUCUGACAGGGUGAAUUCUGUAGAAGUUCUAAGUGAGCGAGCAGGGAUGAGAGACAAUGUUGCGGUCAUCGAUCUGACAAAUACAUCCAUCUUGGCAAAUAAGCUGGUGGACUCAUUUGUUGAGUAUGUGCCUUCCAACUGUUCAUCUAUUAUCUGGCAUGUGGAACUCUUUCUUGUGAAAAUUCAAUUCGCCGUACCGACUUUGUCAUUGAGCAGUUGAUCGUUUUUGGAGAAAUGAACAUGCAUGGUGUACUUGUGGCCGAUGAUGCUGCUGCAAGAGGCCUGGAUAUUCCUGGUGUUCGAACUGUUGUUCACUUCCAGCUUCCCCAUUCAGCAGAAGCAAACAUUUGGAUGCUUUGCACCGUGUUUGUUGCGGCCCUUACAUUUUCUGACUGGAGAAUUACUUUUAUCGUUUCUUUUUUCCACUAGGUUGAUGCUCACAGAAGUGGAAAAAUCAAAGAAAAACUGGUUUCAAAGAAAUGCAGAAUUGGUUGAAUAAGUUAUCGACCUUGAUGACGGUGAGGAGGAAAGGGUGAAAAGUCAAAGAAAGCCAGCUCCAUGAGUUUAUAAAGAAGUUGCAAAAGGUAGCUUAAUACUAUGAACGUUGAUUUUUCUAAAUGCCAAAUUGCCUCUUAUGAUUGUUGAGUGUAUGCAUAGUCUAAAGUUCAGGUCUAUAGUUUUGGGUACAAACUUCUAAUGAGAUUACUAGCACUAUAUGGAGCAUAUCCCUGAUAUGCGUAGAAGAUGAUGUCUACAGACUCUCUACACAGUCCCGCGAAGGGCGGGCCAAAUAGUGGCACCAAAUAAUUAUUUAAUGCAGAAUGAAUUAGGAUAAUUACUCUAUAGUUUUCGGAGCUACGGAUAUCUUAGUAUUUAAGUUACGGGUGGAUGUUCUAAGGGUUAUAAGUAUGUGACAAUGAUCCAUUGUUUCGUUAGUAUUUUUUCAGACUGGUGUUUGUAUUGAUAUUGUUAUGCCCUUCAGUUUUGUGACUUUUGUCCUUGUAGCUCCAUUUUGAUUUCACUUUAGUACAAAGACGGAAGUGAAAUUCCCAGUAAAUUACAGGCAAUUCAGGACAGAGUACUGGAAAUUAAGGUAAUGAACGGUCAUUUUUCUUCACAAGACUUGAUUUGA